UCCUUUUCUUCUUCCUUUGCUAGGGCACAACAACAACAUUGCAGCAUCCCAAAUUCCGUGAUCCUUCCUCUUCUCCUUCUGAACCUCUCUCCCUUGCCGAUUCAAGAUCUCCCUCGUCGGUUUUCCUCUCAAAAAAAUCAUCAGCAACAAUGGAGGAAUGGAUGUCUUGGUUGGUUUUGUUACUCUUUUCUCUCUUUUUUUAGUUUUUUUGUGUGGAGAGGAGAAGACAACGCCCUUUUCUUUCUUUCUCUCUCUGUCUCUCUCUAAAAAACUCACUUACACAAUCCUCCAUCAAUCCUAUAUACAUAAACUUUUCGUUUUCUUUCUCUGUUUUUCCCCUUUUUGUUUUUGUGUUUUUUCGAAGGAAAUUGGAUGGUGGUUUUUUAUUUUAUCCAAAUUGCUGCUCUCCAACUGCUCUGUUGUGUUGGAAAUGGGGAUUGGGUAGUGGGUUUUGAUGGGAUGGGCUCUUCGCGGGCGAUGGGAUGGUGAUUUUAGGACCAUGUUCCUUUGUGAUGGAGUACGAUUCUGAAAUACAUAUGUCUAUGAUGGAGGGACACUCCUCUGCCCUUGCACCAUCCUUGCGUGAAGGAGGAAAUCAGGAACCAACUUGAAAGGACCAAUGGAUAAAAGCACUACCCCGCUUGAGGAUAUUUCAUCUCUCGAUCUCAAAACAAAUGGGAUUACUGGAAAUAAAACAUGGUUUGCUUCAACUAGCAGAGUCUUUAAACUUUCUUCAUAGCAAUGCACGUCUCAUUCACCAUGCUAUAUCUCCUGAGGUUUUGCUAGAAUCCAUUGGAGCAGCGAAGCCAUAUUUGCGGCAUUCAUUGAUGUAUAGGCAUUUUUGUAGAUUUGGUAGGAAAAAUUCUUGUUUAAAUGUAGUUAUUUAAAUAGUUUGUUCGUAACAAACCAUAUAUGUACCAACACUUAAAGCGAUAUAUAAAAUGUAUGUUU